rnacentral:rRNA from 1 species
AUGCUGAGAUAUGAUCUUGAGGACCAGCUCUCGGUCAUCUACUCGGACCAGGAGGCAUAUUGGCGGCUGCGUGGCACCCAACGGUGGGUGCUCCGUGGUGACGCUAACACGGCUUACUUCCAGGCAAUCGCCAAUGGCCGGCGACGACGGAACUCCAUCCAUUCCUUGUGGGACGGCGAUACCCAGCUUGUUCGGCCCUCGGACAUCCGAGCCCACGUAGACGGCUCCUAUAAAGCCCUUUUCUCCCCUACCCCUCGGGGUGGGGCUGCGCUGGCCCCCGAUACAUGGUCGGGUGCCCAGCUAGUCUCCGACGAGGCCAAUGCCGCCUUGGUGGCACCUUUCUCGGAGGACGAGGUCCUAGCGGUGAUCAAAGGAGUGAACCCCUCCUUGGCUCCGGGCCCGGAUGGAUUGCCAGUCACGUUUUUCAAAACGUUCUGGCAAACCAUCAAACCGGAAGUCAUGGCCCUCUUCGACGAAUUCUUCUCAGGGACCAUGGACCUUGGGCGCCUUAACUAUGGGGUCAUUACCCUCAUCCCCAAGGUCCCGGGGGCCUUGGACAUUCGCCAAUUCCGCCCGAUCACGGUGAUCAACGUGAUCUUCAGGAUCUUGGCUAAAGGGUACGCCAAUAGGGUGACCCUUCUAGCAAACUCUGUCACCCACCCUAACCAAUCCGCCUUCAUCCAAGGCCGGUUUAUUUUGGAUGGGGUGCUGGUCUUCCAUGAAGUCCUCCAUGAAGUCUGA